rnacentral:tRNA from 1 species
GGGCGGUUAGCUCAGUUCGGUUAGAGCGCCUCGUUCACACCGAGGAGGUCGGAGGUUCAAAUCCUCCAUCGCCC